ACUAACUUAAAACUUUGAGUAAGACUAAUGACCUUUGGCGUGUACCGCGCGCGAGGAGCAUGGCCUCAUGGGAGAUUUUCUGCACGUUGAACGAGACAGACACACAUCCACUGCAGACUUGGUAACGUUUUCAGCACCAUCUUCACCACCCGGAGAAAAAAAUCUGCAUCAACUACAAAGUAAAGCAGGUCACAGGUGAUGAGAUGGCAGUGUAAACUCUGCAAACAUGAGGAGUCAUCAAAAGUGUCACUACUCAAACAUUAUCGAGUGAAACAUGGUCUCACAGUUCGCAUGAAACGGAGGGCUUCACAGACCGGAGUUUUCCGCCUGUUCCCC